GCGUACAGCUCUCUUGCUAUUUCUUCAAAAGUUGAUUUUCGUCUCAAUAGAUGCCAUGGAAAUAUGAGUUUGAGACAUGGACAAUUGAGGAUUUAGCUGUUAUUGCACUGGGAACUGUUGUUGCUCAAGAGGAUGAGGGGGGCAUUGAGACAGCCAUGAUUACAGGUUGAAGGAACAGUCUUUGAUUUGCCAGAUGAUGUUGCAAAAGAGCUUCUUUUGAAGAAGAUACAACCAGGUUAUACGAUAUCAGCAAUCACCGAGCAUGUUGCAGAUGAUCGAGGCAUGAAUGUUGGAGCUAUUGCAUGUUUGCGGUAUUGAUUUGGGUCCAGACUAUGUCUUAGAUGAUAUUGUUUUGGUCCGCAUGUAUUGUUGUAGCCUGUGAGGAUAUUAUUUUGUAAUUUGUAUUGAGAGUUUAGCCGACCUUGAAAUACAGGUUGAUGGAUUUGUAUAAAUAUAUGUAAUAAUCUUGUAAGAUGUAUGUCUGCAUUGUAUAUGCGAGUGAAUGAUCGAGUUGGAUGUGCGAACAAGUGAUUUAAUCUUUUGUAAGUGUGAAGGAGAAGAGAAGUGUUGCAGAGCAGACUAUGUGCUUGACCGGAACUAUACUCAAGCAUAUGGAGAUGUUAUUUUCAUAGUUCAUAUAAUCCGGAUUUUAGUCUGAAUGUUUUUAUAAGUUAGUGAGACUUCUUGUAAGGCAAUGAGCCUUCCCUUAAGGUUGUAGCCUUUCUGGGUUUCUUAUUUUGAGUAGUCAGCUCUAGGCAGUGUGUCUAAAUGCAUGUGCAUUCCCAUUGUAAUAUUCAUGUUUACUCCUAACAUGGUACUAUCUCAUUGUGGGUAGGUUCCCACCAUGGUUUUGCCCUUAAUCGGGUUUUCCAUGUCAAAAAUCUUGUUGUUAUGUGUGUUAUUGA